CCCGAAGUAAGAAGAGCUAGCCAGAUAAAAGAUUAAUGUUUAAAAAUUAUCUUAAAAUAGGGUUAGAGGUGAAAUGCUAAGCAAUUCUUUUAUACCUGGUUUAGUUAAAAUAAAUUUAAUUAUUAAACAAAUAAAUUCAUUUGUUCAUAUAAACUAGAAGGGUAAGCUUUCUAGUUGUAGAAAAUUUUUAUUUUUAAAAAAGAUUUAAAUAUCAACACUCCAAGAAAAAUAAAAUUUUAUCUUUUACAAAAAUACUAAAUAAUAAAUUAUUGGAACAUAAAAAUAAUAAAUUUAUUAGUAAUUCUGUAAAUUUAUUUAUAGAUAAUUUUACUAUAAUUUAUAUUUGCUUGAAAAAAAGAAUAGAACUCGGCAAAACUACUUUCGCAUGUUUAACAAAAACAUCUCUUAAAAUAUUUUAAGUAAGCUCUGCCCUAUGAUUUAUUAAAUGGCCGCAGUACCUUGACUGUGCAAAGGUAGCAUAAUCAUUUGUUUUUUUAUUGAAAACUAGAAUGAAAGAGUCGACGAAAAAUAGCCUUUUGAUUUAUAAAAUUAAAUUGACAUAAAGGUCAAAAGGCCUUAAAAAACCAGAAAGACGACAAGACCCUAUAAAACUUUACUAUUAUUAAAACAAAAUAGUUGAACUGGGGCGGUUGAUACAAAAACUGUAUAAUAAAAAAUAUAAAAUAUAAAUUUCAAGAACUUAAUAAAUAAAAAAUAUUGAACAAGUUACUUUAGGGAUAACAGCAUAAUUUUCUUAGAGAGCCCAAAUCGACGAGAAAGCUUAUGACCUCGAUGUUGAAUUGAAAAUCCUUGUGUGAGCAGAAGCAUUCAAAGGUAGUCUGUUCGACUAUUAAAUUUUCACAUGAUUUGAGUUCAGACCGGCGUGAGCCAGGUUGGUUUCUAUCUUCUGGGCGGAAGUCGCACUAAAUUGUACGUAAGGACUUUUUGUG
rnacentral:rRNA from 1 species